UUUUAUUUUAUGAAUUUUAGGUGAUUUUGGAAGAAUUUGGAAAGUUUUGAAUGAAGACAUAAAAGAGCAGAACCUGCACUAGCAGAUGCAUGCUCAUGCAGGUGGUGAUGAACAUCAGUCCUGGAGUCUCUCCACAGAAUUUUGAGGGCAACAAAUCCGCAUGAGCAGGUGCAUGGUCAUGCAGAAGGUCAUGUGCAGAAAAAAUAGAAUUUUUAUUUUUCCUAAAUUGCUUGGGAUGCCUUGUUUUCUUUCCUAUGUCACUUAGGAUUUAUAUUGCGGGUAUUUUGUUAUUUAUCAUAGGAUCUAUAGGACAUAUUAUUAGUAUUCUAGGGGGUGGCACAUUUUUUUUGAGAGAUU
rnacentral:lncRNA from 1 species